rnacentral:rRNA from 1 species
AUGAACGCUGGCGGCGUGCCUAAUACAUGCAAGUCGAGCGAACAGACGAGGAGCUUGCUCCUCUGACGUUAGCGGCGGACGGGUGAGUAACACGUGGAUAACCUACCUAUAAGACUGGGAUAACUUCGGGAAACCGGAGCUAAUACCGGAUAAUAUAUUGAACCGCAUGGUUCAAUAGUGAAAGACGGUUUUGCUGUCACUUAUAGAUGGAUCCGCGCCGCAUUAGCUAGUUGGUAAGGUAACGGCUUACCAAGGCAACGAUGCGUAUCCGACCUGAGAGGGUGAUCGGCCACACUGGAACUGAGACACGGUCCAGACUCCUACGGGAGGCAGCAGUAGGGAAUCUUCCGCAAUGGGCGAAAGCUUGACGGAGCAACGCCGCGUGAGUGAUGAAGGUCUUCGGAUCGUAAAACUCUGUUAUUAGGGAAGAACAAAUGUGUAAGUAACUAUGCACGUCUUGACGGUACCUAAUCAGAAAGCCACGGCUAACUACGUG